UACGUAGGGAGCUAGCGUUGUUCGGAAUUACUGGGCGUAAAGGGCGAGUAGGUGGCCAUCUAAGUCAGACGUGAAAUCCCCCGGCUUAACCUGGGAACUGCGUCUGAUACUGGACGGCUAGAGUAUGGGAGAGGGAUGUAGAAUUCCAGGUGUAGCGGUGAAAUGCGUAGAUAUCUGGAGGAAUACCGGUGGCGAAGGCGGCAUCCUGGACCGGCAUUGACGCUGAGGCGCGAAAGCCAGGGGAGCAAACGGG
rnacentral:rRNA from 1 species